AACGUAGGUGGCGAGCGUUAUCCGGAUUUACUGGGCGUAAAGGGUGUGCAGGCGGGCCAUUAAGUGGUGUAUGAAAUAUCCCGCUCAACCGGGAGAGGUUAUGCCAGACUGGUGGUCUAGAGAGCGAGAGAGGGACGUGGAAUUCCGGGUGUAGUGGUGAAAUGCGUAGAGAUCCGGAGGAACCCCAGAGGCGAAGGCGGUCUGCUGGGCCGUUGCUGACGCUGAGGCGCGACAGCGUGGGGAGCAAACAGGG
rnacentral:rRNA from 1 species